AAAGGUGAGAACAGUACAAGAUAUUCUGAGAGAGUGACCAGUCACAUAGCUUUUAUUACAGCAUCCGCUAGAAGUCUUGGAACAUAUCCAUGCCCCAUGGACAAGGGAGGACUACUGCAACCAUAGAGUUACUAUAUGACCCAGCAAUCCUACUCCUAGGUAUAUAUCGAAGCACUUUGAAUAUACCAUGCCACUCCCUUUUGGCCUGCAAAGUUUCUUCUGAAAAAUCAGCUGACAGUUUCACAGUGGUUCCCUCACAGACCAAUAAAAUGGGAGAAGCCAGAUAUGCCACUUCCAAGCAGAAGCUUCAAGAGCCAUUGUAUGAUUCCAAUACAUUCUGCAUUUUCUUUUACCAUGAGACUGGCAAUGUUCCAGGUAGAGGCUGUUCUCUCAGCAUAGGUUCCAGAAUGAAGACAACAUCAAACUGAGUUACAGCUGACCAAUACAAGAUGAGUUAAAAGACCAGGAAACAAACUUUGUUGUUUUAAGCUUGUGAGAUUUGGGGAUUAUUUUGUUAUGGCAGCAUAGCCUCAGUUAAUGAAAAUGAUGACUAUUUUACAAUUAUUUCAGAACUUUUGA